GAUGAAGAACGUAGCGAAAUGCGAUAAGUAAUGUGAAUUGCAGAAUUCAGUGAAUCAUCGAAUCUUUGGACGCACAUUGUGCCCGCCAGCAUUCUGGCGGGCAUGCCUGUUCGAGCGUCAUUUCAACCCUCGAGCCCCCCCGGGGGCCUCGGUGUUGGGGGACGGCACACCAGCCGCCCCCGAAAUGCAGUGACGACCCCGCCGCAGCCUCCCCUGCGUAGUAGCACACACCUCGCACCGGAGCGCGGAGGCGGUCACGCCGUAAAACGCCCAACUUUCUUAGAGUUGACCUCGGAUCAGGUAGGAAUACCCGCUGAACUUAAGCAUAUCAAUAAGCGGAGGA
rnacentral:misc_RNA from 1 species